rnacentral:rRNA from 1 species
AUUGAACGCUGGCGGCAUGCCUUACACAUGCAAGUCGAACGGCAGCAUGGAGAGCUUGCUCUCUGAUGGCGAGUGGCGAACGGGUGAGUAAUGCAUCGGAACGUACCGUGUAAGUGGGGGAUAACGUAGCGAAAGUUACGCUAAUACCGCAUACGACCUGAGGGUGAAAGCGAGGGGAUCGCAAGACCUUGCGUUAUACGAGCGGCCGAUGUCAGAUUAGCUAGUUGGUGAGGUAAAGGCUCACCAAGGCGACGAUCUGUAGCUGGUCUGAGAGGACGACCAGCCACACUGGAACUGAGACACGGUCCAGACUCCUAC